rnacentral:rRNA from 1 species
GAUGAACGCUAGCUACAGGCUUAACACAUGCAAGUCGAGGGGCAGCAUGGAGUCUGCUUGCAGACUCUGAUGGCGACCGGCGCGCGGGUGAGUAACGCGUAUCCAACCUGCCCAUUACUCGGGCAUAGCCCAGUGAAAACUGGAUUAACUCCCGAUGUUGUUCUGAUUGGGCAUCUUAUCAGGACAAAGUUUACGGUAAUGGAUGGGGAUGCGUCUGAUUAGGUAGUAGGCGGGGUAACGGCCCACCUAGCCGACGAUCAGUAGGGGUUCUGAGAGGAACGGUCCCCCACACUGGAACUGAGACACGGUCCAG